rnacentral:rRNA from 1 species
CUAGCUUGCUAGAAGAUGACGAGUGGCGGACGGGUGAGCAAUGCUUGGGAACUUGCCUUUGCGGGGGGGAUAACAGUUGGAAACGACUGCUAAUACCGCAUAAUGUCUACGGACCAAACGGGGCUUAGGCUCCGGCGCAAAGAGAGGCCCAAGUGAGAUUAGCUAGUUGGUAAGGUAACGGCUUACCAAGGCGACGAUCUCUAGCUGUUCUGAGAGGAAGAUCAGCCACACUGGGACUGAGACACGGCCCAGACUCCUACGGGAGGCAGCAGUGGGGAAUAUUGCACAAUGGGGGAAACCCUGAUGCAGCCAUGCCGCGUGUGUGAAGAAGGCCUUCGGGUUGUAAAGCACUUUCAGUUGUGAGGAAAAGUUAGUAGUUAAUACCUGCUAGCCGUGACGUUAACAACAGAAGAAGCACCGGCUAACUCCGUGCCAGCAGCCGCGGUAAUACGGAGGGUGCGAGCGUUAAUCGGAAUUACUGGGCGUAAAGCGCACGCAGGCGGUUUGUUAAGCUAGAUGUGAAAGCCCCGGGCUCAACCUGGGGAUGGUCAUUUAGAACUGGCAGACUAGAGUCUUGGAGGAGGGGGAGUGGAAUUCCAGGUGUAGCGGU